rnacentral:misc_RNA from 1 species
UGACAUUUAUGGAGUGUUUUGGGCGCCUUUGAACCUGAAUUUGACCUCAAUUGGGGCGCUUUUUUUGGGAUAUUUAGGGCUUUCUUCCUGCCAUUGUCAUCCCUAACCCCUCCUGCCUCACAGUUCAAAGAGUCACGGCCGAAGCCCGAAAGUGAGCAUGCUGGGUUCAUCAGUCCGUGCAGUGCGGAAGCUGUGCUGCUCUCUUAUCACUGUCAGGGAACGUAAUUGCAGCUUGUUGCUUGGCGAAGGAGAUAGUUGUCCUUUCAUUCUGAAUAACGUGUUACCUUCUACCAGAAGAGCCGCAGCAGCAGCUAAAGUGGCAAUUCACUCCUUUAGUUCAAUUCCGAAUCACGCUCCUCGGCUGAAGGAUGCAUAUUCGGCAAUAGAGUUGGCGCUGGACUCGGUGGUCAAGAUAUUUACAGUUUCCAGUAGCCCCAACUAUUUCCUUCCAUGGCAGAACAAGCCCCAGCGCGAAACUACGGGUUCUGGUUUUGUUAUUCCUGGAAAGAAGAUUCUUACAAAUGCUCAUGUAGUGGCUGAUCAUACAUUCGUGCUUGUGAGAAGACAUGGGUCUCCGACCAAAUAUAGAGCAGAAGUUCAAGCUGUUGGUCAUGAAUGUGAUUUAGCUAUUCUGGUUGUUGAAAGUGAAGAGUUUUGGGAAGGCAUGAAUUUCCUGGAACUUGGAGAAAUCCCAUUUCUGCAAGAAGCUGUUGCUGUAGUUGGAUAUCCUCAGGGUGGUGACAACAUUUCUGUAACUAAAGGCGUUGUCUCGAGAGUUGAACCCACACAAUAUGUUCAUGGUGCAACCCAGCUGAUGGCUAUACAAAUUGAUGCAGCCAUAAAUCCUGGUAAUAGUGGUGGCCCAGCAAUAAUGGCCAAUAAAGUUGCUGGCGUUGCUUUUCAAAAUCUUUCAGGUGCUGAGAACAUUGGUUACAUAAUUCCUGUUCCUGUGAUUAAGCAUUUUAUAGCUGGUGUGGAAGAGAAUGGAAAAUAUGUUGGAUUCUGCACUCUGGGCCUGUCAUGCCAACCAACCGAAAAUAUUCAACUACGAAUGCACUUUAGAAUGCUCACUGAAUUGACUGGGGUACUUGUCAGCAAAAUUAAUCCUCUAUCGGAUGCGGACAAAACCUUAAGAAAAGAUGAUAUUAUUCUUAGAUUUGAUGGCAUACCUAUAGCAAAUGAUGGAACAGUUCCUUUCCGCAAUAGGGAGCGGAUAACUUUUGAUCAUUUGGUGUCUAUGAAGAAACCCAAUGAAAAAGCUUUACUAAGAAUUUUGCGGGAUGGUGAAGAGAAGGAAUUCAGUAUCACUGUCAAACCUUUGCAGCCACUAGUUCCGGUUCAUCAGUUUGACAGGCUUCCUAGUUAUUACAUUUUUGCUGGUCUGGUCUUUGUUCCACUCUCACAGCCAUAUCUUCAUGAGUAUGGAGAAGACUGGUAUAAUACUUCACCUCAUCGAUUGUGUGAACUUGCAUUGAGGGAGCUGCCUAAAAAGCCUGGUGAACAACUCGUCAUUCUUUCCCAGGUCUGCAUGUGUUUUGGACAGCUUAAAUGUGAUCUGUAUUCAUUGGGCAAACAAUUUUAUGUUUAAACAAGAGUUCACUAAUCUUCAUAAAACUCAUGGCAGAUAUUUUCCAUUGAAGGAAAAUCUGAGGUCCCAAUUGAUAAAUGAAAGAGGAAAAAUAAAAACAAAGCUUGUCCAAACUGAACUUAUAUCCUAUCAAUUGAAUUGCAGUUAUGGAAGGAGAGUUGAAAUUGCCAAUGUAAAUGGUUUGACUAUACGGGGAUUUUACAACUUCUUGUCAUUUAAUUUCCAAUUAUGAGGCAAAAAGUCAGUCGGGAUCAGAGGCAUACAGUUGAAUUGAAGUAUGUGGAGCCUGUUUGAUUUGUCUCAAGCUAAGUUUAGGGGAUCAUUACUAGUUUCUAUCUAGGACGAGCUGUUCUCUUUUAUUGAGUUGAUAAAACUUGAUGGCAAAUUCUGAAGUUAAUAGGAACCAUGAGUUUAAAUAGUGAAAUCAAAGAACUGCUGAUUGGUCCUCCAGAUUUCACUAGUACUUUUACACCCAAAUAUUCUUGUGAUUAUAGAGCAUGCUGAGAAGCACAUCCUUUUAACCUUUGCUGCAGCAUAUUAUUUUAUCUUUUCCCCCUGGUUGGGAAGCACGCAAAUUUGUUCUUACUGUGCAUAUUAUUGAAAUUAGUAUAUCAUCUAUGCUUAUCAUCUAUGCUUACAAGUACUUAUCUGGUUCAGGUGCUGAUGGAUGAUAUAAAUGCAGGAUACGAGCGUCUUGCAGAAUUACAGGUUAAGGAAGUUAAUGGUGUAGAAAUUGAAAAUUUGAAGCAUUUGUGCCAGCUUAUUGAGAAUUGUAGUGCCGAGAGCUUGAGAUUUGAUUUGGAUGAUGGUCGGGUAAUUGUAUUGAACUAUAACUCUGCAAGGGUAGCCACUUCCAGAAUUUUGAAACGUCACAGAAUACCUUCUGCUAUGUCCAGUGGCCUCCUUGAUGAGCAGCAGUAGUUGGAAAGUGAUACUGCCCAAGUUGUGUAUUCCUCAGAAUAUUUCUUCAUAGAUGAUUUUUGCCACCAAAUUGGGUUGGCCUUCCAUAAAAUUUUGAUUAUGUAUUGUAUCAGUUCAGCUAAUUGAUGUGGUGUUAAUUUAUAUAAAAUAUUAAAG